UAACUGAAGAUGGCCGCCAGUUGCUUCAACUUAAUGGCAUUGUUUAUGUCGGCCCCGUUAAAACUAGAGAUGAUCCCAAGAUGGCAGAGCGUUCAAGUUGUUCUCCUUCCCCUGGGGCGAUUUCUUCCCCUCUCACCGCCGAGCAGAGGAGGAGAAAAGAUAACUGGAGUCAGGAGGAAAUGCUCUGCCUGGCCCAGUUAUAUCAAGAGCACAAAUCAACAAUAAAGGCAGACUUUAGUGUCGUCAAUGCCCGGGGGAAGGCAGCUGCCUGGGAGGACAUCACCCGACGCCUGACGGAGUCUUUUCCCCGCGGCAGGACCACCAAGGACUGCCAAAAGAAGUGGCAGUCUAUUCAGGCAAAUGCGAAGAUCAAUAUCUCCGCCCAGAAGCAAGACCCCACUGCCACAGGUGGUGGUCUGGCUCCUCCUCCUCUCUCACAGCUGGACAACCUCGUCGCUGACAUCCUGGGGAGCAAUACUGUGGUGAUAGGUGGCUGCCACGAUCGGCCAAAUGAUGAGCCACCUACUUUUCCCCUAGCGACCGUCGGCUACGAGGAUGAAAGGCUAUUUAAGAAGGAGGAGGAGCCAAUAACGGUACAGCCUGACCCCAGACAGUCUUCCCCUACACCAGCCACCACCCUCUAUGCUUCAUCUACCAAUCCUCAGCCGGCAGUCUCACAGCCAGCUCAUAGCUUCCUUCUUGUGGAUAAAGAAGAAGCUCUUCAUAUUGAAAAGAAGAGGAGGCUAGAGCUGGAAAUUUUAGAACAAGAAGUUGCUCUAAGAGCAGCAAAGGUGCAAACAGAACAGGCUAAGACUGCUAUUUAUAAGGCCAUAGCUAAAAAACUAGCUUAGAUUUGGUAUGAAAUGUGGUAAGCUCAGGCUCAACAAUGGUAUACACAGUUAUAGGCAAGAAUUGGUCUACCAUAAUGAACGAGUGGAACAGGCUUAGCAGUCAUUUCAUGGGUCUCAAUACAAUAGACACAGAGCAAAGUAUAAGAUAAAUUCAUGGAUGGUAAUGUUUGGUGGGGUUAGGUACACAGGAUCUGCCUUGUACAGGCCUGAUGCCCCCUUGCAGACUCCUUACGCUCUUAUGUUCUUAACCCCUUCAUUACCGAUGGCCUACCAUAGUACUUCAAAAUAAAAUUUUGGCUAAGGAACCAAUGAAGUACAGUACUGUCUCCAGGAUUGCGAGUUUCAAGUUUCCAAUUCACCAAGUUUGCGAUAGGGACCCCAAAAAUUUGAUUUUUAUUGAAAACUGAAAUUGUGAUAUGACCCGAAAGGAAAAGGAAAAGGCUGCUAAAACCAGGUUUUUUCACACCUUGUUGUGGUCCUUGAUUCCCAUUCUCACUCUUACCUGCCCCCUGGGCCUUUCCAUUAACCGUGAGAAGCUUGGUGAGUGGGAUCCAGGCAGCCAGGCGGAUGUGUGCAAACAACCCCGACCACGAGCUGGGCCCGAGCAACUGACGGGCUGGUGCUGAUGGCGAUGGUGAUGAUGAGUGUCGGCGGUGUGGCCCCCGCAUCGGCGCCACCCAAACGGCAUUUUCACUGGGGCCCGCGUGUGUGUGGCUGUGCCCGUUGUGGGCCCAGGCUCCUCAAUUUGCCAAUUCUCACUUUCCACAUGUUUGGUGGGACCCCUUUCCUUUCUUCCAUCUCUUCUUUUUUAAAAAGAAGAAAUGAAAGAAAAGAUUAAAGGGGUCCCAUGCAACAUGUGGAAAACAAGAAUCAGCAAAUUGAGAAGCCCAAACCCACAACAAACACAGCCACACACACACGGGCCCUGACAAAAACACCGUUCAGGUGGCACCGAUGCAAAGGCCACACUGCCAACACUCAUCACCACCAUCACCAUCAUCAGCCGCCCAUCAGCUGCUCGGGCCCGCGUGGCCAGGGCUGUCCGCACACAUGCGCUUGGCCACCCAGAUGGGUGGCCAAGCGCAAGAUGUUGAUGGUUUUCAAUUUUCCCCAUAAGAAUAACUGUUCAAAGUUUGCGAUUUUAACAUUUGUGACCCGCAACGUCGACCUAUUUAUCGCAAACUUGGAGACAGUACUUACAUGCGUACAUCAUCGCUCAUUGAUGACACACAGGACUUCAUUUUUUUUGGUUUGUAUGGUUUUUAUGACUUAGUGACAAAUUGACUUGUUGGCACCUUGUGUUUCAAGGACGUUGGCGACGUCUGCCUUGGGGGCUACGAUGUGAACCCUGGGGGUGGUGGCAGGCAGUGUGUGAUUGACACGUGUUGUGUCACGGCGUCUUUUUCUCCGUCCAAUAGUGAUCCUGAGCGCGAUAUGACUCUUGAAGGUGACAAACAAGGGUCGGAUGAUAAUGAAACUCAAUCAGAAGGAUUCAUAAGUGACUUGGAUGAAGACUAUUUGCCAGAGAAUGACAGUAAGGUGCGUAGUGACGAGGAAAAUGAGAGUGAUGUGAAUGGUGACGAUGAAGAAACACCAUACUCCACACACUCCUUUACACUCAUGGGUGAUCCCUUUGCUGAUCAUUGUCCUGGCACUGUUCCUGCCCUAAUUGAGGAUUUUUCUGGUGUUCAUCCUGAUGUACCUAGGAAUGACAUGGGUGCUUUGGACUUAUAUAGUAUACAGCUCAUGAAAAAAAUACAUAAAUGACUAAAUAUGGGUGUAAGGAUAAAUAUAAACUACCCCCACGAAAUUAGGAGAAGCGCGCGAAAAACUCGGUGCGGGAGAAGGGGGGUGAGAAGCGCGGAGAUCACGGAGUCGGUAACGAAGGGGUUAACCCCUUCAAUCCGGCGACGCCGACGACAGCGUCCGAAGGGCGUCCGAUGUCAUUACCAUUAGUCCUCUUUUAAACCUCUUAAUCUUCUUCCAUUUCCUCUUAAUUUUCUUCUAAACCUCUUUAUGAGGAAGUGGAAGAGGACUAAGAUUAAUUUAGAGGAGGAUUGAAAGGUUUAGAAGAGGAUUAAUCCCCUUCCAUUUCCUCUUGACCCUUUCCAUUCUGUGACGCUGACGUCUGCGUCACGGAUGGAAAGGGUUAAGAACGUGCAAGAGGCCAGCAGGCAUAUGCAAGGUAGCUCCUGUGAACCUAACCCCACCCAGCAUCACUAUCCAUGAAUUUAUCUAAUAUUAUAUUUUCAAUCUGUCUAUUAUAUUGGUACCCACGAAAUGACUGCGAAGCUUAUUCCACUUGUCCACCUCUCUGUUUGUAAACCAAUUCUUGCCCAUGUCCUUAUUGAAUCUGAACUUUUCCAGGGUAAAUCAAUUGCUAUGUGUCCUACCAGGUUCACUUACCUGCAGAAAUUCACUUGUACACUUCAAUCAAAUUUCACUGUGUUGUGACCAAAAGUAGGAGACAGGAAGUGCAGAUGGGUAAUUAAGCGAGGACCUGUCAUCAGUUGACAGGUCUUCUACUUUCACUUGUGACACUACCUCUAAUGAAAAACUAAUGAUAUUACUCGCAUCUGUAACUAAUGAUUUUACAGCUUCAUGUUUCUAAUGAUUUCAUGCACUUUCUGUCUUUCUCACUUUUCAGUCUCUCCCAACAUUUAUUUUUACUCUCCCUCUCCAGACAUCUAUUAAUCAGCUUAUCUGGCUCAAUGGUCCUCUGUCUUUGUUUCCUUCAGUACUGCUCCUUAAUGGUUCUCUAUGUCACUCCCUUUCUAAUUAUGCAUCACUAGUCAGUCCUCGCAUAAUUAUCCCACUGCACUUCCUGUCUCCUAAUUCUGGUCACAACACCUGCAUCCGUCGCCUUUUUAGAGAAUGGAAAUAUAAUUGUUUAAGUCUUUCUUCAAAUGGCAAGUUCAUUAAUCCUUGAAUUAUCUUUGUCAUCCUUCUCUGUACUGAUUCUAGUCCAUGAAUUUCCAUUUUGUAGUAAGGUGACCAAAACUGAACAGCAUAGUCAAGGUGGGGUCUGAAAUAAAUAAACAAUUAACCCCUUCCCGGCGGAGGAUCUAUAUAUAGACGUUUCGAAAUUGGGACUUUAAGUCGGCGCGUCUAUAUAUAGACGUUUGCUUUCAUUUGCCCACUCUAGAUUGUAGCAUGGUCUAUAUAUAGACGAUUCCUUACUACUAACAAAAUUAACAAAAUAAAUCAUUAUUUGGCAUCUCAAACCCCCUGACACUUACCGACAUUGCCUCUCAAGGACAGUCACCGCUUGUGCUUUGUCGGUGGCGGAUGUGCUAUGCACAUCAGCUAACACUGGGAAUUUAUGCAUUUUUUUCCCUAUUUUAUUUUAUUAUUAGUCUAUCAUGUCAAGGAGAAAGAGACCUCUUAAGAUGGAAGAAAUGACUUCUUUGGUAGCUGAGGAUAUAGAUGCUGAUUUUUUGGAUGUUUUUGAUGAUUCUGACUCAUCUACUGUCAGUGAUUACACUGAUACAGAAUCUAAACCUUCAUAUAAAUAUAUCAAUACACAUAUAACCAAUCACACUUAAAUAACAUCUAUAUAUAGAUUCAAAUGUUUGUUCAGUUUUGCGGCAGAGUCUAUAUAUAGACGUCAAUCUGGAAUGCCCACUUGCGGGGAAUCUUUACAUACACGUAUGGAUGAAAGUUGACAGCGUCUAU